rnacentral:rRNA from 1 species
GUGCCCAGCAGCCGCGGUAAUACCGGCAGCCCGAGUGAUGGCUGAUCUUAUUGGGCCUAAAGCGUCCGUAGCUGGCCGCGCAAGUCCAUCGGGAAAUCCACCCGCCCAACGGGUGGCCGUCCGGUGGAAACUGCACAGCUUGGGACCGGAAGGCUCGAAGGGUACGUUCGGGGUAGGAGUGAAAUCCCAUAAUCCCGCACGGACCACCGAUGGCGAAAGCACUUCGAGAAAACGGAUCCGACAGUGAGGGACGAAAGCCAGGGUCUCCAACCGGAUUAGAAACCCCGGUAGUCC